rnacentral:lncRNA from 1 species
AUGGCAGUCCCGGGGAGCAGCUCCGUCGCCUCCGCUCCCCUCUCUCCUACUGCCAGAGCGGAGCCGCGGCCCCGGAGCCCCAGGCGCUCCCGGCCCCGCCCCCCGGCGCUCAUUGGUCCGAGGAGGCCCCCGUGGGCGGAGACUGGCGAGCCGGUAUUAAAAAUCACAUGGGCAGCGCUCAAAAGAGAGGCAGUAGCUUAUUCCGUUGUAUCACUUGCCAGCGGCAGGCUGAGGCUAGGGAGAGCUUGGGGAUGGUUUUCCGUUUUUUACUCACCUCUGGAUCUAACACCCUUUUUAACAAUACAAUUUUUGCCUAGCUUAAAAUCCACCGACAGGACAUCCUUAUUUUCAUUGGAGAAAUGUUGGAGGGUAUGGAGUUAUGUGGAACCCCCCCCCCCACAAGCCAAAGAGAUAAGUAACUAUGCAACCUUUAGAAGACAUCUGAAGGGAAGAUACAGAAAUGCAAGGUAAGAAAAACACCCCCCAUCAUCAUCUCAAGGAGAUAAAGAACUACACAACUUUUAGAAGAUUUCUGAAGGCAGCCCUGUAUCGGGAAGUUUUUAAUGUUUGAUGUUUUACUUUGUUUUUAUAUAUGCUGUAAGCCGCCCAGAGUGGCUGGGGAAACCCAGCUAGAUGGGUUGAGUAAUUAUUAUUGUUAUUGUUAUUGUUAUUGUUAUUGUUAUUGUUAUGUCAAACAAUAGGAAAAUAUAAACACCAUCCCAAAGCGUCCUUCCAAAGAAGUUCAUGUCUCCCAGGCAGUUGAAAACAUGUUCUUCUGUUGCAGCGUAUGAAAUAAAGCAUGACCAAAUAGUAUAAAACUUGUUUGCUUCCUGUUCGUUCCUCCUGACACAUAGUUCAUGAGUCAUUUUCUCCAUUGGAGUUAAUUGCCGUAUUUGCACACUCCAUUCUGCAGCAGAUAGCCAGUGCUUGGCUACAGUCAGUCUAUACUGUAGAAAACAUUGAGCCAGACAAACCAAUUUCUUGACUCGGUGUAUGACAGCUUCCAAAGUUCCUGUAUUUUUUCCUUAGGUUUUAGGUGUCUUGCAUGACUGGAAAGGAGCUUUUGCUUUUGUGAGGCAGCUGAGGCAUAUUUUUCUGGUUCUGCUCCAGCGUUGUUUAGAUCCCUACCACUUUAAUUUCUGGUGGAGGAUUUAUUCUAUGAAUUGAUGGGAGAGAAUGCAAGUGGAAUUACCUUCAUCAGACGAUGAAAAAGAAAAGAAGGAUUAUGUCUGUGUACAAGACGUGACUACAAAGCUCUGAGGUUCAGAAUACUGUGAGGAAGAUUCUUGAUUCUACAACAUUAUUAUGGCAUACACACACACACAAAAUUAAAUCUCUGUUAGCACACUGGUUGGAAGCAUCCUACGAUUCAAGUGUUUGUCUCCAGAGAGCAGGAUUGAUACUCAUAAUUAGGCAUGGGAAAAAAGGGCUUGUCAAGAGCAAUAUUUCUUUAUAAUGAAAAGAAAGAUACUGCUGUUUAAAACCACAGGAAUUUUCCCCUUUUUAAGGAUUUUUAAGCCAGGCAAAAAUUGGACUGUCUGAGCUCUGUAUAGCAUGCAGAUGGAUGAGAAUGCUGGUUGAAUAACAAAUGUAACUUUCUAUAUGGAAAAAAAGAAUAAAAUAUGAUUACAAAAAAGACAGAGAGAAAGAGAGAGAAAAUGCUGGUUGCUGGUGAAAUGGGAGUUUCACAAAUGGCCUUCGCUGAGAUCAUAAAAUCAGCAAUUAAAUGCAUAAUAAUUAUAGGUAAAGGUAAAGGACCCCCGGACAGUUAAGUCCAGUCAAAGGCGACUAUGGGGUUGCGGCGCUCAUUUCGCUUUCAGGCCGAGGGAGCCGGCGUUUGUCCACAGACAGCUUUCUGGGUCAUGUGGCCAGCAUGACUAAACCACUUCUGGUGCAAUGGAACACCAUGACAGAAACCAGAGCCUACAGAAACACCAUUCACCUUCCUGCCGCAGCAGUACCUACUUACCUAUUUGCACUGGCAUGCUUUCGUACUGCUAGGUAGGCAGGAGCGGGGACAGAGCAACGGGAGCUCACUUCAUCGUGUGGAUUUGAACCGCC